rnacentral:ncRNA from 3 species
GUGUGUUAUAGAAAUGCAGUAUUUUGAGGCAAACUUCUGGAGUACUAAAUCUGAAUUGGAAAGGACUGAUAACAUCUCUUUCAACUCAUAGCUGAUUCAGGAUUGUUCAGAUAAAUUUGAGGAUUUACAUGACAUGACCUCAUUUACACACCUUAAAAAAGUAAAAUCAAGAUCAAGGCUUUUAGGAAAAAGCUCAGAUGAU